rnacentral:rRNA from 1 species
GACGAACGCUGGCGGCGUGCUUAACACAUGCAAGUCGAACGGAAAGGCCCUGCUUUUGUGGGGUGCUCGAGUGGCGAACGGGUGAGUAACACGUGAGUAACCUGCCCUUGACUUUGGGAUAACUUCAGGAAACUGGGGCUAAUACCGGAUAGGAGCUCCUGCUGCAUGGUGGGGGUUGGAAAGUUUCGGCGGUUGGGGAUGGACUGGCGGCUUAUCAGCUUGUUGGUGGGGUAGUGGCUUACCAAGGCUUUGACGGGUCGCCGGCCUGAGAGGGUGACCGGCCACAUUGGGACUGAGAUACGGACCAGACUCGUACGGGAGGCAGCAGUGGGGAAUAUUGCACAAUGGGAGGAAGCCUGAUGCAGCAACCCCGCGUGCGGGAUGCCGGCCUUCGGGUUGUAAACAGCUUUCGCCUGUGACGAAGCGUGAGUGACGGUAAUGGGUAAAGAAGCACCGGCUAACUACGUG